rnacentral:rRNA from 1 species
GAAUAUUGGGCAAUGGGCGAAAGCCUGACCCAGCGACGCCGCGUGGGCGAUGAAGGCCUUCGGGUCGUAAAGCCCUGUCAUGCGGAAAGAAAAGUCCCGCGAUUAAUACUCGCGGGAUGUGACGGUACCGCAGAAGGAAGCACCGGCUAACUCCGUGCCAGCAGCCGCGGUAAUACGGAGGGUGCAAGCGUUGUUCGGAAUUACUGGGCGUAAAGGGCGCGUAGGCGGUAAUAUAAGUCAAAUGUGAAAUCCUCCAGCUUAACUGGAGAACAGCAUCUGAAACUGUGUAACUAGAGUACAGGAGAGGGAAACGGAAUUCCCGGUGUAGAGGUGAAAUUCGUAGAUAUCGGGAGGAACACCAGUGGCGAAGGCGGUUUCCUGGCCUGAUACUGACGCUGAGGCGCGAAAG